ACGCGUGCGCAGUACUAUGCUAGUGGUCGGAAGAUGGCGUUGAGUAUGUUCGACUCGGAGACUGCUGCAGUGCACUGGAAAAAUCGUGUUUAAUCUCCGUUUUAGAAAAUGAAAGAUUUGGGGGUGACAAACCUGCUUCAGGAGUGGGACUUCCCACAUUUAGUUCCAAUCUUUAGAGUUAAAUGUUGCAGAAGAUGAGCACGAAGAAGACACCUACUGGAUGCAAUAUUACUCAUCACCUGACAACAUUGUUGUUAAUGUGACGAACCUCGGUACCGAGAUAUGAGUUGACUAGAGGAAACCCGCGACCAAGCACAGCAGAAAUUCUUGACAAAUAUCUACAGCUUUUGGGAAUGAUUGAUCAAGACUUUGAUUUAACAAUUGAUGCAGCUCGG